GGAUGAUUAUUGUAAAUGUUCUUUUCCCUCCCAAUUGAUUUUUUUUCCAUUCCUCUUAGCAGAUACAAUGAAACAUAAAAUGAAAACUUAAAACAACAGUGAUUUUAAAGGUGGCAGCACAGCCCUGGUCAGAAGGGAAGCACUGCAGUUACUUGUUUGACUGAAACAAAUUCAAAGUCAACUUGACGCCAGGAUUUAAUAAUAUCGACUGGCUUUUCAACAGUUCAGCAGACACCACUCACGACAAACAAGCCAAACUCAAAUCUGUCACAGCCCAUACUAAAUCAAAUCGCCCACUGACACCUGUCUUCUCCCUGUAACGAGUAUAUAUAAGGUCAAGCAAUAACUUUUUCAUUUCAACAGGUAACUUCAAAGCAGCUUCUAUGGAAAAAAAACGCACAUUUGAAUGGCUGAUCUUUUUCUUUCAAACUAUUUUUCCCUCUUUUUUUUCUCCCAAAUUUGGAAUGGUACCACAGGGACAAACUGCGCAUGUGCUUGACUGACGUCAACUGAAGUGUGUGCACAUUUUCAAUGUGCUCACCCACGAACCAGUGACUACUGUCCACACCAAAGACCAUUCACUUCUAUGGGAGAACCAGCAUCAGUUAAUUGAAGAAAGGAAUGCUAAUGGGGUAGUGGACCACAAAGCCGGGUGCCUGGUGGAAAGCUCAGGCGAGUUCCCUCCACUGCCUCCCUGCCACUGAUGAAAAAGCGGAGAUUUCCGAUUCUGUAAGGCUUUUCGGUUGAAGGCAUUUUUAAUAAACCGAGAUAACUUAA